ensembl:snoRNA
ACAGCACUCCACGGGGCCAGGAUUUGGUGGCCGGUGCUGAGAGAAAAGCCUUGGUGCACCUUUGCGCUGGGAUCAUGCCUGUGGCAGCUGUCACUCAGUGGGACAGAG